rnacentral:lncRNA from 10 species
GAGAAAGUUCAUCCUGUGGCUCUGACUAGAGAAGAUAGAGUCCUUAUUAACCUUUAGAUUAGAAAAAUUAAAUAUAUUUGUUUCCUAGAAUCUAGGUGAUUGCCCAAUAAAUAGGAGGAGAACAAGUUAAAGUUAAAAAAAGAAAAGCAGAUAAAUAGCAGAGCAAGAGGCAGGAUGCAUCAUGCCUCGGUCACUACAUGUUUGCAGGGUUUUGUUAAAGACAAUGGUAUGACGUUGAAACUUGGAUUGCCUUGAGUACACCCUCACAGCGCUGCUCGUGGGGCAAGCAUGCCUGGGAGAUGACCUGGGGCACCACGCCCUGCCUAUCUCAGACAAGGAACUCCAGGCAGCAGUGGCGAAGCUAAGCAGCUCCAUCCUUAAGGGGCGGAGGCCGGCUCAUAUUUGCCUAUUAGGGCCGUGGGACGCCGAGGUUCUGCUGGGUCCCUCCUGGAAAUAGAUCCUUCCCAGCCAGCACCCGAAGUCAGCAGCAGAGGGCAAAGCACCUGGGCUUUAUUUAGCUCCAAGCUCCACGAUCCUCCUGCAUAUUGUUCCUGGAAGAGGCAAAAGCCUAGGGCUUCAAGAUGCCGGGGCUUUAAGAAACCAAGGCAUGACCUCAAGUGAUUUGCCGGAGGUGGCCUCGGUGGCAGCAGUCAUUGAAGAAAGGAAGACAGCUGCCCAGCCAGUCUGACAGACCAUACACAGACAGCCCUGUUCACAGGGAGGCGUGGGCAAAGAUUUCAUGACGAAACAUCAAAAGCAAUUGCAACAAAAGCAAAAAUUGACAAAUAUGAUUUAAUUAAACAAAAGAGCUUCUGCACAGCAAAAGAAACCAUCAUCAGAGUGAACAGACACAACCUAUAGAACGGGAGAACACUUUUGCAAUCUAUCCAUCUGACAAAGGUCUAAUAUCCAGAGUCUACAAGGAACUUAAACAAAUUUACAAGAAAAAAACAAACUACCCCAUUAAACAGUGGGCAAAAAACAUGAACAGACACUUCUCAAAAGAAGACAUUUAUGCAUCCAAAAAACACGAUAAAAAGCUCAGCGUCACUGAUCAUUAGAGAAACGCAAAUCAAAACAACGAGAUACCAGUCAGAAUGGCAACUAUUAAAAAGUCAAGAGGCCAAGUGCAGUGGCUAAUGCCUGUAAUCCCAACACUUUGAGAGGCCGAGGUGAGCAGAUCACUUGAGGUCAGGAGUUCAAGACCAGCCUGGCCAAUGUGGUAAAACCCUGUGUCCACUAAAAAUGCAAAAAUUAGCUGGGCAUGGUGGUGCAUGCCUGUGGUCCUAGCUACUUGGGACCUGCUGAGGCAGGAGAAUCACUUGAACUCAGGAGGCAGAGGUUGCAGCGAGUUGAGAUUGUGCCACUACACUCCAACCUGGGUGACAGAGUGAAACUCUUGUCUCAAUAAAUAAAUAAGUAAAUAAAUAAAAAUAAAAAGUAAAGAAACAACAGAUGCUGGCAAGGCUAUGGAGAAAUGGGAACGCUUUCUAUACUGUUGUUGCAAAUAUACACUAGUUCAACCAUUGUGGAAGACAGUGUGAUGAUUCCUCAAAGACCUAGAACCAGAAAUACCAUUUGACCCAGCAAUCCCAUUACUGGGUAUAUAACCAAAGGAAUAGAAAUCAUUCUACUAAAAGAUACAUGCAUGCGUGUGUUCAUUGCAGCACUAUUCACAAUAGCAGACAUGGAACCAACCUAAAUGCCCAUCAAUAAUAGACUGGAUAAAGAAAAUGUGGUGCAUAUACACCAUGGAAUUCUAUGCAACCAUAAAAAGGAAUGUGAUCAUGUUCUUUGCAGGGACAUGGAUGAAGCUGAAAGCCAUUAUUCUCAGCAAACUAACACAGGAACAAAAAAACAAACACCACAUGUUCUCACUUAUAAGUGGGAGCUGAACAAUGAGAACACAUGGACACAGGGAGGGGAACAACAUACACUGCGGCCUAUCGGGGGGGCUGGGAGAGGGAGAGCAUCAGGAUAAAUAGCUAAUGCAUGCGGGCCUUAAUACGUAGGUGAUGGGUUGAUAGGUGCAGCAAACCACCAUGGCACAUGUUUACCUAUGUAACAAGCCUGCACAUCCUGCACAUGUAUCCUGGAACUUAAAAUCAAAAAAUAAAAUAAAAAAACGUGAUUAUGAAAAAA